ACCAACUACUUCUCUGACAGAGUUCAGUGUGUCAAAUCGGAGGGCCUACUGUCUGGACCUCUGGCAGUCUCUAUGGGGGUACCACAGGGUUCAAUUCUUGGGCCAACUCUUUUCUCUGUAUACAUAAAUGAUGUCGCUCUUGCUGCUGGUGAAUCUCUGAUCCACCUCUACGCAGACGACACCAUUCUGUAUACUUCUGGCCCUUCUUUGGACACUGUGUUAACAACCCUCCAGACGAGCUUCAAUGCCAUUCAACUCUCCUUCCGUGGUCUCCAACUGCUCCUAAACACAAGUAAAACUAAAUGCAUGCUCUUCAACCGAUCGCUGCCUGCACCUGCCCGCCCGUCCAGCAUAACUUCUCUGGACGGUUCUAACUUAGAAUUUGUGGACAACUACAAAUACCUAGGUGUCUGGUUAGACUGUAAACUCUCCUUCCAGACUCACAUCAAUCAUCUCCAAUCCAAAGUGAAAUCUAGAAUUGGCUUCCUAUUUCGCAACAAAGCAUCCUUCACUCAUGCUGCCAAACAUACCCUCGUAAAACUGACCAUCCUACCAAUCCUCGACUUCGGCGAUGUCAUUUACAAAAUAGCCUCCAAUACCCUACUCAACAAGCUGGAUGCAGUCUAUCACAGUGCCAUCCAUUUUCUCACCAAAGCCCCAUAUACUACCCACCACUGCGACCUGUACGCUCUCGUUGGCUGGCCUUCGCUUCAUAAUCGUCACCAAACACAUUGGCUCCAGGUCAUCUACAAGACCCUGCUAGGUAAAGUCCCCCCUUAUCUCCGCUCACUGGUCACCAUAGCAGCACCCACCUGUAGCACGCGCUCCAGCAGGUAUAUCUCUCUGGUCACCCCUAAAGCCAACUCCUCCUUUGGUCGUCUCUCCUUCCAGUUCUCUGCUGCCAAUGACUGGAACGAACUACAAAAAUCUUUGAAACUGGAAACACUUAUCUCCCUCACUAGCUUUAAGCACCAGCUGUCAGAGCAGCUCACAGAUCAUUGCACCUGUACAUAGCCCAUCUAUAAUUUAGCCCAAUCUACUACCUCUUCCCCUACUGUAUUUAUUUAUUUUAUUUAUUUUGCUCCUU
ensembl:lncRNA